CUCCUCCUCCUCCUCCUCCUCCCUCACCCGGCGGCGGCUUCCUACCUCUGCCUGCGCCCCGCCUCUUCCUCCUUCUCAGCGGCAGCGAUGAGCAUGAGAGCAGCGGAAGCGGCUGGAAGCCACAAGCUGGCCGAGGUGGUCUACAGCGAGGAACGGUCGCGCUCGACGCCGUCCUCCAACCCGUACUUCCCAACCCGAUGCAUACCCAAGGAUUCUGGCGUAGCUCGAAGGAAGGACCAAGGCCUGGGACGACGCGCCUUGUCCUUGUCUUCCUCUAACAUCUCCCUGUCGACUGCUGCUUAUUAGGGAGGGAGGAAGGGAGGGAAAAAGAUAGAUGGCAUCGGCGGCUGGAGCUGGCUGAGUUAUUUGGGGACCUGCGCACACGUCGAGCGACGGCGAGCACAUCCGACGGCAACACACCAAGAGUCCUCAUCUUCGUAUCAGUGUCCCUCAAUUUUCUGUUGGCCAAAACAAAAGAUGUAAUCUAUUGUUGAAAGGCCAACUUGUCUGCAAAAUACUUUGCGAACUGCGGCACGGUGAGGUACAUCCUUGUAUUUUCUGGUUUAUUUUUCCGAUGCGAGAAGUGCAGGAGCACUAUCGGUUGCUCACUUAUGUAUAUAAUAAUCAUCGGUUGUUGUUUUUAUUCGUCAAAAGAAGUUCUGUGUGAGUUAGAGCCUAGAGGUUAUAGGUAACAAGGGCGCGUGAUCCUAUUAAAUGGAAGGGAUGUAAUUAUUUGUCCAAGUGAUAUUGAAGUUACAUUUGAGAAUUUUGCCUACCACUUUAGGUGAUGCUUUGACUUAAUGUUCCUUUCAUUUGCUUUGGCGUCUAAUCCUGUUUAUUAGCUUCUUCAUAUACUGUAUAUCUGAAACUUUUAUUACAUUUUAUUAGUCCAAGUGAAAGCAUCUGUAACUGCAUGUAGAUAUAUUUUGUCAACCCGUGUAACAUUGCCUUUUAAAUAUGAUUAUGAUUUUCAUUAUGUGCAACUCUGCCCAGAUUGAGUAGCAGGUUGUUUAUCACGUGCCUAGAUGAGGUCACUAUGGUGGUACUGAAAAGUGAUGCUCUAAUGUUCAUAUGUGUUAUGGAGUUGGUUCUUUUGAAGUUAAAGUAGUUGUGUAUUAUGCUCUUCUUAGGUUUUAAGCCUAGGUGAGGGCAUCAUAUGUGCUAAUGUACGUUGUUUUCAAUCCGCCUGCGUUUGAUUUUUUUUACCUCUUAUAGGUUGUUUUGCUUAUUGUGGUUUCCCUCUAUUCCACAAGGUCUGUCAGCUGCUAGGAUUUAAGGUGUAGGAACUUACGGGUUGUUGUUUCUGUUGCUGAUUAGAGCUUUGGUUAAGAUGCUUUCUUUUUUAGUUUAGUCGGCAUUCUGUUGUUGCCCUUAUGAUAAAUUGUUAGUUAGACUUGUGCUUAACUAGCGAUUCUUACAGAGUUGUACUUUCACUGAGAAGAAAAGGCUAUACUUUUUACUAACAAAGAUGUCAAUAUUGCUGCUUUCUGCCCAUAGUUUCACUGUCCUUUUUUAUAGUUUAUUUAUAGCAGAUGAAUACAUGAAUAUAGCCCUCCUAUUUUAGAGUAUGAAUCAGAAUCUAAAUUAGCAAUUCUAAAAAUGAUCAAUAACUUCAAUUUCAUCAUAUAUGCGGUGUCCCCAAUUUUAUUUUAUUUUCCUUUUUGGUUCUAUAGGAUUGAGAUCUAUACUUUGCCUUAAACUGAAUUUGAUGUUGUUCAUGCAUCUGAUGUCACUUAGAUUUUAGGAAUUUUAGGAUGGAUGGCAAGUUUCCCAUGUUGGAUGUUUCCUUAAUUUUCUCAAAUCUUUGUGAUAAUCUAGACGACUAAUGGUAUUGUUCCAAGAAGACAAGCAAGUGCGUAUUAUGUAGUUGUAGGUAUCAAUUUUUUCUCAUUCCGAUGAUUCUGAAGCAAUUAAAUUGGUAUGAUCACUUCAUCCCCCAAUUUCUCUGUCAAAGCUUACUUUGUCCAUCGUCAUACCAAAAUGAGUUACUCUAUUUCCUAUAGCUCUAUUAUUACUAUUUCCAUCAGAACGUGUCUCUCAGUUCUCCUUUAUAAUAUCAUGCUCAGAGGCACGAAUGCAAAAUGUGCUUGAAUUAUGGUGUUGGUUUUAAGAAAAAUGUGUGAAUGGAAUAAGAACUAUAUUUUUUUUAGGGAGAUAAGUAUAUAUUACUUUGAUUGUUGAAUCGGCCUAUGUGUAACUUCACGUUCUGUCGUUUGUGGAUACAUUUGUAAAGAAGUGACAUGGCUUACUAACCAUAUUAAAUUUUGUCUUUGGAUAUGGAAUAAAGGUGGGAGAGCAAAUGUGUUGUCGAAGUCCGACGAGAUUAAAUAGCAGGUUGACUCUUUGUAGUGCUUGUUCAAAUGUAUGUCAGGUGUUUUGUUAUCUAAAAAAAAACACAUUAUCCUGCCUUUGUUUUUACAUCGAGGUGUAAAUGUUGAGAAGUAUAUUAUUCUGAUUGAUAAUAGUUUGAGGAUCACUACAAAGGAUCUCUGCCAAGAAUUUGAAGGAAAUGCCUUGCCAAUCUGACCCAUCACAUAACUUUGGGUUCUAUCAGUUGUGUGGCACAUACAUUUGGAAAUAAGUGAACUGUAUUUGCAACUCUAAAUAUUUCUCUCAUGCAUGUAACUCUGAACGACAUGUAUAUUAUAUUCUUGCUAAAUUGAUCCUAUAUCUGCCUUAUCCAUGUGUUAACUGUUUAGGAUUUGGUUGCAGUGGCCUAUAAAGAAUUUGUUGGAUUUCUAAAUUGAUCAUAUCUUUGCCUCAUCCAUGUGUUAAAUCUUUAAGAUUUGUAUGUGUGGCAUGUCAUGCACUUAUAGGAUAAUUAAUUGACCUUUUUUAUUAACUUAUUUGGAAUACGACUUUCCUGAUUUUCUGCUUUCCUUGAACCCUCAGAUUUCAUGGUUGCCAACAACACAAAACUUUUUAAUCUUUUAAAAGAGUGCAAAUUGCAUAAUAUGAUAUGAAACAUGAUAUUUUGUUAAGGCCUUUGCAUUUUAACUAUGACGGAUUCUCUCUUCUCUCCUGCUUACGAAGUUUCCUUCUUUGGUUUUCCUAGGUAUUGUUUCUAAUUUUACCUACAAAGGAAAACCUUUUCAAAUCACAUCAGGUUUCAUUAUUAGAAAGGCUCUUAGUAUGGUCAAGUUUCAUGCACUUAUUUCAAGUAUCCUGCCUUGGGUGUGUGCGUGUGUUGUGGUGGCGUGCGUUUGUACCGAGUUGCUCUGGAUCAUGCUUAUAUAUAAAGCGGGGUGGAAGCUUUUU